UAAUGGGUACCCAGCAGAUAUGCCAAUACAGAAAUCACAUUUAUGGGCACACAACUACACACUCUGUCUCCCUCCUAGGAAACACGGAUAGACACAAUAUAAAAGCAAUCUUAAACUAACACCUCCAAAUCUCCAACUAUUCUUGGCCAAAACACUAGUAUUCAACAACUAAUAAAACAGUUAUUUGCUAGGUUAUUUGGCUGUCAUUCUUAUCAGUAUCACUAGACUGUGACAAACUGAUUCACAUAUAAUUUAAAACAAUACAGCAACAUAUAAAUUAAACCACUUUCAAGUUAAACUGCACACUUAUCACACAUUAUCACAAUCACCAUUUACACAGAAUAAA